rnacentral:snoRNA from 1 species
UUCCAUCUAUUCGACAGAUCCAAAGCAGUUACUGUCUGCUUUUAAGGUUUCUACCACAGUUGCAAGACCAAAGGGUCCUCAUGCUUUCUGUCUGACUGUGGCAGCCAAGAUUCAAUAGGGAGAAAAACA